CUCAACACACAGCGACGAGCACAACACAACACAGAACGUCAUUGCGAUGCACAAGCAAAUAUGACAGCUGUAUAAGCGAUGCACCCUAAUUAAGGUCCGCAUGGAGCUGGAGGGGGCGUGGCCUCCAGCUCCGGCUGAAAAUCGGGAGAUUUUCGGGAGAAUAUUUGUCCCGGGAGGUUUUCGGGAGAGGCGCUGAAUUUCGAGAGUCUCCCGGAAAAUUCGGGAGGGUUGGUGAAUGACGAGUCUUCAUCUACCCAACCCACUGCUGCGGGGUUACAGGAGUACGCCAUACAUGAUCAACCCUAGUUUUAAAGGUUUCAUCAAGCUUAAUUGAGGAUAGAGAAAAAGGAGGAACUUACAAAGUCGGACUACAAUGGCGGACUCGUGCAAAGCUUUUCAGGUGUAACAUCCAAAUCAUCAAAACAUGGUACCUGUGGUAUUGGGACAGGCCUCUGAGCACUAAAGCUAAGUUCAUCUGGGUCGUCAGGGAGAGGUGUCAUCUCUUCUGGCUCAUGUCCAUCUCAGGUUGCACCACCGGAGAACCAGUUCCUUUUGUUUCCGGGACUUGGACGUGAACUACGGAGUCCGACUCAAGCAGAGGAGAGAACCUGUGCUCCAGCAGGCCGAGGGAAGUAAGGACGGCCGGUGCGGAGG